CUUACCCGGCCUGGAGUGGAGAAUGAUUGACAGAUUGACAGCUCUUUCGUGAACCCACGGGUGGCGAUGCCUGGACGGACUGACGGAUUGAUAGCUCUUUCAUGAUUCUGUGGGUGGUGGUGCAUGGCUCUUCUCUAUUAAAGAAGUGAUUUGCUUUUAAACCUGCGGAGGACUUCUUAACUCUUAUGGGAUGUUAUGACUGUCGAGGCCUUGAGGGGAAACAGGUUCACUCUUGCCUUUGCCUCCAGCACCCUCGUCUUAGUCACAAUUCUCUUAUCACCACAUAAAACUGGUACGAGAAACCCAAUAACGGGACUGUGAUGCCCUUAGAUGUUCUGGGCUGCAACGCUCUACAAUGAGUGUGAUAACGAGUUUUUUGAAAGUCUCGUGGGUAACUGCUUGACUACUCCCGCCUGGAAAAAGGUGUACAAAUCUCCCAAACAAACUACUACCGGGAAAUAGUGCCUUGUAAUUGUGGUGCUUGAACACGGAAUCCCUUGUAGUCGAAAGUCUCUAGCU
rnacentral:rRNA from 1 species